AAAAAGACAAACCCUGGUUUCCGUGUCCAAUGUUUGACCGUUCGUCUUAUUUGAAAAAAUUAUAAAAAAAAUUAAAAAGACAAGUCACGCAUAAAAUAUUAAUCAUAUUUUAUCAUCUAAUAACAAUGAAAAUACGAAUUAUAAAAAAAUUUCAUAUAAGACGGACAGUCAAAGUUGGACACGAAAACCUAGGGUUUGUCUUUUU
rnacentral:pre_miRNA from 1 species